rnacentral:pre_miRNA from 1 species
UAUCAAACAUUCUAUUGAACAGUGUGUCACCAAGGUGUUUUACCUUGGUGUUUUACUUGGUGACACACUGUUCAAUGGAAUGUUUGA